rnacentral:ncRNA from 1 species
UAAAAGUUUGAUUCUUUCUUAAAUCUUUACGGUUUUUAUUAAAAUUGUAUGGAAGCUGUUGCGUGUAAUUUUUUUAUGGGAGUUUAAAAUUUCCUAUUUAGUUUUUUAUAAAGUAAUAAAUUUAUAAAGGAUAAAGUCCCAGCAUAUAGUAUUAAAUAAUAUAUUAUCGUGUGAUUUAGUAAUAAUUUAAAAUCUGAUUAAGUAUUGUGCCAGCAUUCGCGGUUAGACUUUAAGGUUAAGUGAAGAUAUAUCAGCUUUUAGUUAAACAUAUUUGAAAGUUAUAAGUUGAAUUUAAGAAAGUAAAAAGUGAAAUUGGAUUGUUUUUUUUAAAUGGUAAGUUGUUAACUUAAGUUGAAGCUAAAGAUUUUUAGGUUUAAACUAGGAUUAGAUACCCUAUUAUACUAGAGAAUAAUUUUUAUUUGUGGCUUGAUUAUUAUUAGAUAUAGUCUUUAAAUUUAAAGAAUUUGGCGGUGGUUUAGUCUUGUCAGAGGAACCUGUUUUUUAAUCGAUAAUCCACGUAAAAUCUUACUUGUUUUUGUUUAGUUUGUAUACCGUCAUUAGCAGAUAAUUCUAAGAGGAAUAAUUAUUAUAGUCAAAUAUUGAGUUGGUAAAAUUAGAUCGAGGUGCAGCUUAUAGACAAGUCAAAAUGGGUUACAAUAAAGUUUGUUUAUAAUGGAAUAUAUAGAGAAAUUUGAAUAUAAAGGAGGAUUUGAUUGUAAUGUGGGUUUAAUAAGCCUACGAGAUAUAAGCUCUAAAUCAUGUACAUAUCGCCCGUCGCUUUCAUUAUAUAGAUGAGAUAAGUCGUAACAUAGUAGGUUUACUGGAAAGUGAACCUAGAUUAA